rnacentral:tRNA from 1 species
GAGGGUAUAGCUCAGUGGUAGGGUACGCGCUUAGCAUGCAAGAGGUCCUGGGUUCAAUCACCAGUAUCUUCA